UGUGCUGCAGCAGCUACCGGUGCUGGCGGUGGGAUGAGAGUUCCUGAACCGGGCUGGGAUGGGACACAUGCGUGCUGGGACAGAAGCCUUCUUUUUGUGAUGUUCCUCUUUCAGGCUGCACGGCCUUUUAGAGCGGCAGAAAAAGAGGAGUGCCUGUGACUGCAAUGGUCACCCUGCAACCGCUUGUUCUUCUGCAGCGUAGGGAAAAGCAGCUCAAACAAAGAAGCUGGAGACAGCGUUGUUCCCUGGAGAGAAGCACAGCCAGAAGCGGUGCGGCGCCGGGGAUCCGAGGUGCAGCUGAGGAGCUGUGAGAGGAGACUGCGUCGUGGGAGACGUAGAGGCAAGCAGAGAUUCGAUAUAAAGAAUUGUCAGGGUGCUGGACGCUUCAUAAGUGAGAUUCGUCAGCAGAAAUAAAAACGUUGUUCUCUGUCA
rnacentral:lncRNA from 1 species